GACAGGGCGAGAUGAACAGUCCAAUUUCUGAAUGUAACUCUUUUUAAGAAGGUCAUACACCAGCAAUGUCAAAAAAAAAAAAAAAAAGAAGUGUAACAGGAAACAGUUUGCAGGACAGUAAGUGCUUAAUCUCAAGGUUCCAGAUUUUAAUCUCUGUGGUGGUGCUGUGAGGGGCGGGACAAAGGGCCACAAUGUUGGAUCCGCCCCCUUCGAUGAUGACCUGUGAAAUGUAACCCAAGAUAGUGCACAGAGUACAUAUAAGAAGAAUGGUCUGCCUGAGGUUUCACCUUAACCAGGAGUCUUCCGUCAUAAAAAAGCACAAGCAACUGUCCACCGCAGGCAGUUGUGAUCACAGGAACAUCCAGAGAAUUAUUCUCCAUGUACAGCACCUUCCCAGAAUCCACCUCUCACCUACAAGCAGUGGCCCAUCUGUAACACUAGCACACUGUCAUCUAAACACAGGGUUAGCGAGUCAGCAGCCCAGUCCAUAAGCUCUUGGUAAGGACCUCAUGGGUCUUGUUUGCUCAUCCAGACGCGACAGACUUAACACUAAAUCAAGGGAGCAUGAAAUGAUGUAAUGCCGACCAUGACCAAGAGCUAUCAAGGCACCCAUAUGACCUAGUUAAAUAUGAGUCUGGAUGUUAAGGACAGAUCAUUCGGCCAUUAUGUGAUAAAGAAUCUUAAUUUAAAGUUCUAUGCUUUGGUCAUAAACCACUGCAGGUUGUAGAGCUGUUCACUCGUGAGGUCAAUCUGUAGGCCAAAAUGGAAGAAUAAUUCACUAUGGGUUCCCUGGGUUUUCAGAAAGGGGGUUUUCAGUUGUUGUUUUUUUUUGGUAAAAUAACGUGGUUAUAUUACAUUCAGUACAUGCCAACAGUGCAUUCCACCACCAGUUCUCAAACGUGAAUUUUGAAACCAUUGUCUUAAAAAUGCUAACAAGACAGCUGUGUGCUUAAUUCCACGUGACACCUCAUUUGUCGAACCACAUAAAUUCACUUCCUUCUGCUUGCAGGAAACAGGCAGUAGUUUUGGCACUAUGAAUAAAAUUCAUAUUAGCAUUCCAUGUAUUCAAAAAUUAUGUGAAAUGUGUUAAGAAAUUAAAAAUAAAAUAAGCUAGCUUUCUUUAAAAGAUGAAUCUCUGGGAAUCAUUUUACACACUGUCCUAGAAGAAUGAUAGCAUGUUGAGCAGUAUUA